GACGAACGCUGGCGGCGUGCUUAACACAUGCAAGUCGAACGGAAAGGCCCUGCUUUUGUGGGGUGCUCGAGUGGCGAACGGGUGAGUAACACGUGAGUAACCUGCCCUUGACUUUGGGAUAACUUCAGGAAACUGGGGCUAAUACCGGAUAGGAGCUCCUGCUGCAUGGUGGGGGUUGGAAAGUUUCGGCGGUUGGGGAUGGACUCGCGGCUUAUCAGCUUGUUGGUGGGGUAGUGGCUUACCAAGGCUUUGACGGGUAGCCGGCCUGAGAGGGUGACCGGCCACAUUGGGACUGAGAUACGGCCCAGACUCCUACGGGAGGCAGCAGUGGGGAAUAUUGCACAGUGGGCGGAAGCCUGAUGCAGCAACGCCGCGUGCGGGAUGACGGCCUUCGGGUUGUAAACCGCUUUCGCCUGUGACGAAGCGUGAGUGACGGUAAUGGGUAAAGAAGCACCGGCUAACUAUGUG
rnacentral:rRNA from 1 species